rnacentral:lncRNA from 1 species
GCCCAAAUAAUUCUCUAAAAAACCUUUGCACAUUUCUAAACCUUCCAUUUUGUUCUAAUUUCUUCCAGAACGGUCCUCCAGGACCUCAAGGCAAUCCCGGUCCGCCCGGUCCCUCUGGCACCCCCGGGUCUGAUGGCAUUGAUGGGGAAAAAGGACCUCCUGGGCCUUCUGGCCUACCAGGGUUGAAGGGGGACCCAGGUGAGCCUGGUCCAGAUGGACCUCCUGGAGAGAACGGCAUCGACGGUUUGAUGGGACCAAAGGGAGACGGCGGCCCUAUCGGGAACCCUGGACCUAAAGUAAGAUGGCGCAUCUCAAUAGUCCAAAGCAAUGAUUCUCAAAUUUGGGUCACGGCUCGGUAGUUUCUGAGGGAAACGU